AGUGAACGCUGGCGGUAGGCCUAACACAUGCAAGUCGAACGGCAGCACAGUAAGAGCUUGCUCUUACGGGUGGCGAGUGGCGGACGGGUGAGGAAUACAUCGGAAUCUACUUUUUCGUGGGGGAUAACGUAGGGAAACUUACGCUAAUACCGCAUACGACCUACGGGUGAAAGCAGGGGAUCUUCGGACCUUGCGCGAUUGAAUGAGCCGAUGUCGGAUUAGCUAGUUGGCGGGGUAAAGGCCCACCAAGGCGACGAUCCGUAGCUGGUCUGAGAGGAUGAUCAGCCACACUAGAACUGAGACACGGUCCAGACUCCUACGGGAGGCAGCAGUGGGGAAUAUUGGACAAUGGGCGCAAGCCUGAUCCAGCCAUACCGCGUGGGUGAAGAAGGCCUUCGGGUUGUAAAGCCCUUUUGUUGGGAAAGAAAAGCAGCAGGUUAAUACCCCGAUGUUCUGACGGUACCCAAAGAAUAAGCACCGGCUAACUUCGUG
rnacentral:rRNA from 1 species